GAAAUUUGGAGAUUUUCUCCAUCGUCGUCAUGCUAUUUUUUACGAAAUUUGCAGAUUACCUCCGCCAUUCUCAUGCUUUUUUCUAAGUUUUUCCCCCUUUUUUAAAGUUUUGAAAAAAGAAAAGUGGAGAUUGUUAUGUGAUAAAGCCUCUAAAAUUUCUCAAGAGGUUAUGGUAGGCUUCCUUUUUUCCACCUCCAACAUCAAUGCACAUGAGGUGAUAAAGUUCUCUAUACUGAGCUGCGGAACAUUAUGAUUUGUUAUCUAACAUUCGGCAGUUAGUUAAGGUGCAAAAAAUUGGAAAUUUCUUCCAGCAUCAGAAGAAGAAAAUUGUAGUUAUAGUACCUUUAGUUGGAGUGGACAGAGGGGAUAAAUUGUGGUUGUAUGUUUUUUGUGAUUUUUGUAAAUUGUGUUUAUAUUCACAUUUGAGAGUUGAAGCAAAGAAGUUGGGACUGCUAGCUGAGCCAUAUUUGGCAGGAGCGCAAUCAAUGUGUAGAUUGGUUGGCUAAAUGCAGCAUAUGAUCCAUCUGGGUUAUAAGUUCCCGAGAGAUGCGAGAUUUGUUAGAAAUGGAUGUGUUAGGAGUUGUAUAUCAUUAUUUUGUUUCUAUUUAAGAGGUUAUGAUCUCUUCCAAUGU